GGAGUUGUGCCUGAAAUCUAAGGGCCACUUUGAUAGAGUGUACUAUAAGGGUUAAAGUCCCUUCAACUCCU
rnacentral:tRNA from 1 species